ensembl:lncRNA
AAGAGGUGGGGGCAUGACAAUUCAGCACCACGGGUUGACCCUCCAUGACAACGAGGUGGGAGGGAGUGGCCGACACCUCCAACUUCGCCAAUCGCUCUGAAGCGGGCGGAGAAAAGACCUUUGCACCGACCUCAAGAACAACACUCGUGAAAUUACCUGUAAAAGAAAAUUGAACAGAGCUUAAGAACAGCCCUGGGGUUCUUCUCUGAAAUAUACUUUAUCCCCGGAAAGACAAUUUGACAAGACAAAAAAGUAUGUUGAUUUCUCAUAAAUAAACACAACACCCAAGACUAUUCUUAUCACAAAGAGUUCCAAACCUGCUGUUGCAGACAAGAAGAGUAAUAUAAGAGACCAACGCAGCAUCUUGGUACGAUGGUCAACUGAACUCCUGAUUGCCACUGUCUUCUCAUCAGACAUGAACAACAAACAGAUCCUGCGGCCCUCCAGACAUACUCAUUGCUUUAUGGAUCCUCUGUAGCAGAGAGACUGGUUAAGUUUGGAGGAAAUUGCUGCAUGAAAUAAAGGCAAUAUAUACGAUGUAUAAAGAACAUAAGAGAAAGCCAGACUGAGGGAGGAUAUUGCCUGCUUAAGGCAGUGAUUUAUACUUCAGAUGAGCGCCAAGAGCUGGGGCCUGGGUUAACCGGCUGCUG